rnacentral:rRNA from 1 species
GGUGAACGCUAGCUACAGGCUUAACACAUGCAAGUCGAGGGGCAGCAUGGUCUUAGCUUGCUAAGGCCGAUGGCGACCGGCGCACGGGUGAGUAACACGUAUCCAACCUGCCGUCUACUCUUGGACAGCCUUCUGAAAGGAAGAUUAAUACAAGAUGGCAUCAUGAGUCCACAUGUUCACAUGAGUAACGGUAUUCCGGUAGACGAUGGGGAUGCGUUCCAUUAGAUAGUAGGCGGGGUAACGGCCCACCUAGUCUUCGAUGGAUAGGGGUUCUGGGAGGAGGGUCCCCCACAUUGGAACUGAGACACGGUACAAACUCGUACGGGAGGCAGCAGUGAGGAAUAUUCGUCAAUGGGCGAGAGCCUGAACCAGCCGAGUAGCGUGAAGGAUGACUGCCCUAUGGGUUGUAAACUUCUUUAAUAAAGGAAUAAAGUCGGGUAUGCAUACCCGUUUGCAUGUACUUUAUGAAUAAGGAUCGGCUAACUCCGUGCCAGCCGCCGCAGUAA